ensembl:lncRNA
GGAGCAGCUCGUGUCUCCUCCGCGUCAGUCUGAGCUGUUGUCACCGGGAAGUGGAGGAAAUGCGCACGGGACAUUUCAGCGUUUGUCUUUAACCGGGGGACGAGCAUUUUCUGUGAUGAAUGGACCGAGGGACGAGCGGGACUCCGGACAUCUGCUGCUCGUGGUUUUCCUCUGAGAAGGGCCACACUGAAGGGCCACACUGAGGGGCCACACUGAAGGGCCACACUGAAGGGCCACACUGAGGUCGACAUCACCGUGACCCUCUGUCCUCGUCCGCCUCCAGACGCCCCUCUGCCGCAGACUCCAGAAGUGUCCAGCCAUGUUCCGAAACAGUCUGAAGAUGCUCCUGGGAGGCAGAGGGCGCAAGAGCACGACCAGCGGCGGCAGCAGCAUCGAUUCUGACGGAUCGGACGCCAGAAUAAUCGAGGGAUUCACUCGGUCACUGCCGUCGUCUCCUCUGCUCAAUCUUCGACUGACCAAGAGACCAGGUGAGAGGAGCACAGGGAGCGACGAUGC